UCCCGUGGCCGCCAGGACCCUGACAGCAUCAGAGGGAUAGCUGAGGGGACCCUUUCUCUCCUCUGCACCCCCAAGGACAGCAGACACCAGCUUCAUGCCGCGUGGUCAGGUCCACCACGAAAUCCACACGUGCGGAGGCCUCCUGAAUCUCAGAGGUCUUUGCUUUUCUGGACAUUUCCUAAAAAUGGAAUCGUGCAGCCUGUGGUCUCUUGUGCCUGGCGUCUUUCGCCCUGUAUGAUAUUUCUGAGGUUCGGCCGAAUCGUAAGUGCGACGAGUUCCUGGGAUGCAGGAGAGAGAAGGCAAUGUCAGGGUUCUUCAGGAUGCCCACAACCACUCCGGGGAAACAGCCUUGCAGAUAAGUAUUCAAACUUACCAGCCCCGGCCGGCCAGCCUGCCCGCCUCCCGGUCUGUGCGGGAGAGUGUGGCAGCCAAGAAUCCCCACGGGAGGGGAGAAACUGGUGACGCAGCUCCUUGGCUUUUCACCUCUUUGCCACAAAGAAAGAGCUUGUCCCCAUUUGAUGGGGCCCCCGAAAGGGUAAUUUUCAUGCCCCGCUUUUGGCCUCAAGGCUUGUAUUUUAUAAAUGCCCCCAUCAGGAACUUCUGAGAGCUGAGUUGAAAGACUUGUCUUGAGGACCUGUAGACGGGUGUCAGAAGGAGGCCCGGGACUCCUGGAGAGUUGGGCUGGCGCUUCUCUUCUCUUCUCAGCUCUAGCCCUUUGCCAUUAUAUUUAUCAAACGUGGCCAGGGCUCCUUUGCCAGGCAGUCAAGAGGGGACCUCAGCGCUGUGCCCUCAGGGCGCAUUCUCAUCAGUGCAGGGGUCUGAGUACAUCUCCGGCUCUGGGCCCGCGCCCCAAGUCCUGGGUGCUGACAGCAAACUCUGAAAAUUCGAGCAGAGAGCCCCAGACUCUCCUGCGGUAGGUCUGCCACUCAACAAGGAUAGCUUUGCUGUCCCCAAAAGCAAUACCUGGGGGAUGGUUCUGGGUCAGGAUUAGUGGGCAAUUGGAGGAGGGUGGGAGGGGGCAGAAAAAUAACCGGCUGAGCACAGGGCUCCUCCUGUUUUGCAUCCACUGCCUCCAAGUAUGGGUUACUAUUGCGCACUUUGAGUGCACGGGUCCCACGGCUCAGAGAGAGGCACAGACUUCCAAGGGCUGCACAGUAUGGCAGAGCUGGAACCAGGACUCUGGAUUCCUGACUCUGUUCAGCUGAGUCUGUCUUUACUUUCUCCUGGGUCACAUUCUGCUGAUGUUGGGAGCAGGCAAGUGGGUGCAGGGUGCCCCUUCCUCACUCCAGGACCAUCUGGGGUGGGAGGAAGGGAGGUGGAGGGUGUGUGCCUAGGCCCAGCCCCCCCUGGCUCCCGGGCCACCUUCUUGCUGCCAGAGAAUUCUGGCCAGGCCCGGGCUGGGGAGGGGGCCUGGGCGCGGUUUUCUCCUGCGGCGUGGCUGGCUCUUGUCUUCCAGGAUGGGCCUUGGGGGCUGCGUGGGGAAGGAGCUGGGAGCCGGGCCUGGGCUGCCAACGCGGUGGCCGGGCACUGCCAGAAACAUGGCCCAAGCACCUUCUCCCAGCUCGAUGCUGAGGAUCCAGAGGUGAACACCAGUGAUGUGGUUCCACCCUCUCCGAUCUUCAGGCCACUCUGCCCCAGCUGUGUCUCCAAGACUCCGGGCCUGGUCUUCUCUUUGGAGCCCGGGCGACUCUGGACUCCAGCCACGAGGACACACGGAGGAACCUUCGGUGCUUUUCUGGAGCCCUCGACAAUUCCCCGAAGACCUUAUCCUUUCCAGCUCCCGGGAUGAAGCCUGCUGUGGAUAGAGGCCCCUCCUGGCUGGAGCUCAGCCGAGCACAGGGCCUGGCUCUGGGGGACGGCUCGAGGGGUGUGACGGAGGCUGGCCACCCACCGUCCCCUCUGCACCCAUCGUGACCUGCCUGCUGGGCCUGCCCAUCCGGGCCCGGAGACCCUUCCUGACCCCGCGUGGACUUCAUUCCUCCUGGCAUCCCUGCUCACGACCAGACAGAGCUCGGCCCGAACCCCAUUGACCACCCCGUCCCCAAGGCUGGGUCUCAAAGGACCCUCCAGGAUGGGCGCAGGAAAGCAGGCUGGGAGUCCAGAGGAGCUGCCGGGGGCUGGGGUUGGGGGGGCGUCGCAGCUCAGGGGGUGCUGUGGGCUGGAGUCUCAUGUGCUGUUUGUCGUGUGAGCGAUUCUUAUUUUGGGGGGUGCCUUUUGGAUGGGGCUUCUCUGUGCUUCUCCUCUUCCUGAUGGUCACAGGGAGGAGGCAGGCAGGGUCGGGGGAGCGGAGGCCUUCCUCCGUGUCGCUGAGCUCUGGGAGGGGCAGCUGGAGGGGAGAGGGUGUGCCGCCUUGAAGGGGGAGAGUUUCCUAGAGAUGAGGGGACCUAGGCCAGGGGAGGUCGCCAGAAGGAGACAGACACUGGGCUUUGUUCCCACCAUCCAAAGAGAAUGGGCUAGAACCGCCCUGGCCCCAAGGCUUGAGGGGUCCCCCCAGCCCGAUGUCAGCCCCCUGCUCCUUGUUGCACCAAUCUCCAAUUGUGUCCUCGGGGAGCAAAGGCAGGCAGGCGGGCCCAGCCACGUGCAGCCUCCCCAUCACACGGCUGCAGACUCACUUCCGGCCCCUUCCGGGUCUCCCCUUAGGCCAAUCCCUCCAGGGGGCCGGUCCCAGUGCUUGUCCUGGAGCAGCCUCAGCCUUUCUUCAAAGCCCCUCAUCAUUUUCCUGGCAGGGGAGGGGGCCUGCAUGAGUCGGCUUGGCUGCUAUCACAGAAUACCCGAGACCGGGGGGCUUCAAAAGCAGAAAGGCAUUUUCUCGCAGUUCUGGAGGCUGGAGGUCCACGAUCAAGAUGCCAGGGGUGGUUUCCGCUGAGGCCUCUCUCCUUGGCUGCAGGUGGCACCUUCCUACCGUGUCCUCACAUGGCCCCUUCUCUGUGCACACGCGCGGAGGGAGAGAGAGAGCACUGAUGUCUGUUCUUAUAAGGGCGCCAGUCCCAUCAGAUCAGGGCCCCGCCCUUCUAACCUCAUUUAGCCUUAUUACCUCC